GGCUCCGUCACACGCCCCUUCCCUUCCAGGGCGCGGAGUUCCAGGCGGGGCGUGCUGCCGCGCGCCCUGGUCGCGGUUGGGGCCCGGUGGGCGCCAGCCUCUGAGCAAGGCUGACCCCUGGGUGGCAGUUACGUCCUCCAUUCGACGCCAGGUUUAUUUGUUGCUCCUGGACGUUUGUGAUUGUGUCCUGGAAUGGCGCUCCAUGACAUCUCAGUGUUACAUGUCUGGCAGUGACGCCAGAAAACGCUCUACCCGUUUGCCACAGGGCGUUGGAAGAAUCUGAAGCACAUUUGGAUUCUUCCUCUCCUAGCACACCGAGUGAGCUUGCAAAAGGUAGCUUAACUCUCAAGAUUGGAAGAUGGAGUGAGUUCCGUUGUGUGCAGCCAAAUGUAGGGACAGAGCAUCUCCUCGGGAGUCUUCUCCAAGUAUCCCCAUUGGUCUAUCCAAGUAGAAGUCAUAGCCUGCUAAUGGAAUCUGGAUGGUCAGCAUUUUAGGGUAGAAAAACCAAGUGGAAAACAGUAAACAGUAGAUUUGGAAGAGCAAAUAGCAGAUAC